rnacentral:rRNA from 1 species
GGGAACAAGUUCCGUGAGGGAAAGUUGAAAAGAACUUUGAAGAGAGAGUUCAAGAGUACGUGAAACCGUUCAGGGGUAAACCUGAGAAACCCAAAAGAUCGAAUGGGGAGAUUCAUCGUCAGCGGCUUUGGCUUUCGUGUGGUUCACGAUGUUCAAGACUUCGGUCUUGCGCACGCGUCCACUGCGGUAUGUCCGGAGUCGUCGGCGUGCACUUCUCCCCUAGUAGGACGUCGUGACCCGUUGGGUGUUGGUUUACGGUCUGGGUGGUUGCCUGUUCUGUCGCAUUUUAUGCGCACGGAGCAGACCCCCGUGUACCCGACCAACUGCCCGGCGGUACUCGCACGGUAUCGGGCCGCACUUACGUGCGUCGGGCCCGUCGCAAGCUUGAUCAGUGUUUCCCGGAUGUGCGGACCUAGUGCCGUCCCCGGGCCUGGUCAGCUGUUGGUCGGCGGUGUUCUCGGACAGGCUCAUCAAAAAUGAUACCGGUCGGCGACGCUACUGCUUUGGGUACUUUCAGGACCCGUCUUGAAACACGGACCAAGGAGUCUAACAUGUGCGCGAGUCAUUGGGACCGCAAAACCUAAAGGCGUAAUGAAAGUGAAGGUCGACCUUGCGUCGACUAAGGGAGGAUGGGUUGCGUCACGAUGCAGCCCCGCACUCCCGGGGCGUCUCGUACUCAUUGCGAGUAGAGGCGCACCCAGAGCGUACACGUUGGGACCCGAAAGAUGGUGAACUAUGCCUGGUCAGGACGAACUCAGGGGAAACCCUGAUGGAGGUCCGUAGCGAUUCUGACGUGCAAAUCGAUCGUCGGAACUGGGUAUAGGGGCCAAAGACUAAUCGA